UGGGGAAUUUUGGACAAUGGGCGAAAGCCUGAUCCAGCAAUGCCGCGUGUGUGAAGAAGGCCUUCGGGUUGUAAAGCACUUUUGUCCGGAAAGAAAUCCUUGGCUCUAAUACAGUCGGGGGAUGACGGUACCGGAAGAAUAAGCACCGGCUAACUACGUGCCAGCAGCCGCGGUAAUACGUAGGGUGCAAGCGUUAAUCGGAAUUACUGGGCGUAAAGCGUGCGCAGGCGGUUUGCAAGACCGAUNUGAAAUCCCCGGGCUCAACCUGGGGAACUGCAUUGGUGACUGGCAGGCUAGAGUAUGGCAGAGGGGGGUAGAAUUCCACGUGUAGCAGUGAAAUGCGUAGAGAUGUGGAGGAAUACCGAUGGCGAAGGCAGCCCCCUGGGCCAAAUACUGACGCUCAUGCACGAAAGCGUGGGGAGCAAACAGGAUUNGAUACCCUGGUAGUCCACGCCCUAAACGAUGUCAACUAGUUGUUGGGGAUUCAUUUCCUUAGUAACGUAGCUAACGCGUGAAGUUGACCGCCUGGGGGAGUACGGUCGCAAGAUUAAAACUCAAAUGAAUUG
rnacentral:rRNA from 1 species